rnacentral:rRNA from 1 species
AGCUCCAAUAGCGUAUAUUAAAGUUGUUGCGGUUAAAAAGCUCGUAGUUGGAUUUCUGUCUGAGGCGGCCGGUCCACUUUCUGAGUGAGCAUCUGGUCCGCUUUGGGCAUCCUCCUGGGGAACGUCUCCGCGCUUGAUUGUGUGGUACGGAAUCUAGGACUUUUACUUUGAGGAAAUUAGAGUGUUCACUGCAGGCAUACGCCUUGAAUACGUUAGCAUGGAAUAAUAAGAUAGGACCUCGGUUCUAUUUUUUCGGUUUCUAGAGCUGAGGUAAUGAUUAACAGGGAUAGUUGGGGGCAUUCGUAUUUAACUGUCAGAGGUGAAAUUCUUGGAUUUGUUAAAGACGAACUACUGCGAAAGCAUUUGCCAAGGAUGUUU